GCCGAGGUGGCGGAAUGGUAGACGCGCAUGGUUUAGGACCAUGUGGGGAUUUCCCCGUGGGGGUUCGAAUCCUCUCCUCGGCA
rnacentral:tRNA from 1 species